GUAACUUACACAGAUUUUGGUCUAUAGCAGACAGCGUCUGAAGGAAGUGAACAUUUUAAAACACUCCCAAAUACAUCGACCUACGGAUUUCAAUUCCUCUCUAGUCCUGCCGCCCACAAAGCCCAGCCAGCUCUUUUUCUUAAUCUUAUAUUUCUCCUCUCCUCUCCUCUCCUGCCUUAAAAAUCUCCCAGCGAAAUCUAGGGUGCACGAGAUUAAAUAAAUACCGCCCUAGGGCCAUAGGAAGGGGAGGUAGGGUAGAGAUGGCAAAGGGAAGUGGGGGGGCCUUUGUGAAUGGAUUCUUUAUACUCAAAGCAAACGCAGACCAGAGUGGACGCUUCCGCCCUCCGAAGUGUGGGUGGGUACCGAUGGCGCUGGGGGGUGAGGGUGCUUCUCCUCCUCCCCGCCCUUGAGGAAUUUGGGACUUAAAAGACAGACAGUUCUGUCAACUGCUCAGACUUGGGGGUGGGAGUGUGCGGAGUUAGGCUGAGGGACUGCUCACACCCACAACUUCAUCCACUGCCCUCCUCCUCUACCUCAGAUGUUCUCCUCGCCUCCCCCACCCCUUUUUAAAAGCCGCCUCAGGGGUCUCCCAGACAUCUUCGCUUUGUGGUUUUGCGUCUACUGCGGUGCCAUCUGAAUAGGCCUCUCUAGUCCAGGCCGCCCUCCGCUGGGCUUUCUCCAGCACAGCCUUGGUGGCAAUGCGGGCCAAAGCGUGCAGGGACCAGCCCAGGGGUGAGGAGCCGAGGGGGCAAGGAGGUGGGACCUGGGUCCGGGCGGCCCAGCCCUAGCGGGGCCUGUUCGAGGCGCUGCCCGGAGGGAGCACUGAGAACGCGGGGCAGGUGUUCCCUGAGGGCAGGGAGGGCAAAGGGAGGACACGGUGGGGGCAGGUUUCUGCCGUUCUCCUGGGGAGGCAUUUGUAGCUACCUUUGCUUUGGGUAGACGGUUCACAUCCGCUGUCACACGAGGUGAGGGACAUCUUCCUAACCUUGAGCGUCAGGCAAACUUGCUUCUGCUGCCCAGGACGCCGGCGCAGCUGGGUUGAACGAACCCUUUAGCUCCUACGGACAUCACGCAGGGCAGGCGUCGUCUGCCACUGACGGCAGGAACACAUCCGGCACGUGUAAGGAUCAAGGCAAAGUGCUGGCUCUGACCCUGGCGGGGUCAAGUCCAGCCCCCGGCCCAAUCCGGCGGGGUUCAGAGACGCCCGGCGACCCCAGGCCCGGGAGUCCGCGCGGACCGCGGCGGAGUUUUUCCCUACCCUGCGUGCCGCGCGGCAGCGCACCCGGGGCUCCGGUUUCGUCCCGUUGACUUGUUGGUUUGAAAGUUGAAGCCCUGGGGUAGUUAAGGCUGGACGCAAAACUCUCCAACCCCGCUAAUCCUAGACAAAAUAAAAACAUAAGCGUCCACAAACCAAAUUCUGGUCACUUUCUGUGGGGGUCACCUGGUGGGGAACACGUCGCUGCGGGACCUGGAGGGAGGUGUACUUUCUACCUCGAAUUCCCUGUGUGUGGGAAGAUGUCGAGAAGGUAUUGGAAGGGGGUCUUCCCUAUGCUGCCUAUUCCGUUCUCCUAAACAGGUAUUUUAAAAACCCCACCAAAAACCAACCAACCAAACAAAAAACCCCCGGAAUGGGCUGCAUCUGCAGCUCUGGUGGGGGUGGGGGCGGAGGGGUGCAUAGGAGGCUCAUCUUGAGGCCGAGCUCCGGCACGAAUUUGCCGCACACCAGGACCGAGGGUCUCCCAGGGAGAUGAAACCCAGCAGGAGAAAUCAGGGCCUGGGAGCCCCUGGCCCCACUCGGGAGACAACCCGCCCGGCGCGAAGGAUGAGUUUUCCGAAUCCCACACGAGGAAACUGGAAGGCAGGCAGGCGCUCAAGCCUCCAACAGGGUGGAAUCGCAAAGAAAAAAAAAGUUUAAAAAGAAAGAAAGAAAGAAAAAACUAAAUUUGAACAAAACUAAACUACAAGCCCGCAGGUCCCAGCGCCGCAAACGAGGUGGGGGAGGAGGGGGCGGGAACGGCCCAGGCGCAGAGAGUGGGGGAUGCGGAACGAACUCCGUCCCCUGCAGAGUCGGUGCCUUCGGGGGCUCCACCGCCGCGCGCUCCCACUCGCCAGGUCUGUAGGACACUCUGAAGAACUCUCCAUCAUGCAAAGGAGAAAAGGCAGCUCUCUACUGGCCUCUGUCAGAGAAGCUAAAAGUUUCCCUCUCUUUCCUGCAAGUUUUCCGAACCCCAUGACUCUGAUUUCCAGGUCAGAGAGUAAGGUUUUAUUUUUAUUAUUCUUUAUACCUGGCAGAAGAGGAGCACCUGAAACGGCAUUGGGGUGGACUAAUUAUUAUGAGCCUACUGUGGGCAAGGCCAGGCUUUGGUUGCGACAGAGGAAAUUCAGUUACACCUGCUCAGCGAUCUGUGGACCCCAAGUCAGGUCCUACGUCCUUCUGACAAACAGCGCCCUCCUCCACCCGGGAAUUGCUGAGCUGACUCUUCCUUUGGGCCGAAUGAGUCCCAGGAUUCUUAAGUGGCCCAAUAUUUAAGAGGACUGGAAUUCUAUGUGGCAUUUCUGAUUUCAUUCCUAAACAGCAGUUCCCUGAAGCAUGUGGAAAAUAAGAAACCUUGCUAAAAAUGUUAACUUAAAAGACGGCUGGUUUAAGAGAAAUGAAAACUACAUCCAUAUAAAAACUUGUCCUCAAAUGCUCCCAGCAGCAUUAUUCAUAAUAGCCAAAAAGGAGAAACAAUUCAAAUGUCCACCAACUUAAUGAACAGAAAAACAAAAGGCGGUAUAUCCAUACAAUGGAAUACUAUUUGGCAAUAAAAAGGAAAGAAACAUCGAUAUAUGCUACAACAGUGUUGAACCUUGAACUGUUAUGCUAAAUGAGAGAAGCCAGUCACAAAGGAACACAUAUUGUACAAUUCUAUUUACAUGAAAUUCCCAGACUAGACAAAUCUACAGAGACAGAAAAUACACUAGUGGUCACCAAGGGCUACAGGUCAGAGUGGAGGCACUGUAAGAUGACAGUCAAGUGGUUUAGAGUUUCAGUGGGGGGAUGAUGAAAAUAUUCUAAAAUUAAUUGUGGUGAAGGUUGAACAACUCUGUGACUGUACCAAAAAACAUCGAAUUUUGCACUUUAAAUGGGUAAAUUGCAUGGUGUGCAAAUUAUCUCUCAAUAAAGCUGUUUUUUUUAAAUGAUACUGUAAAAAAGACCUUUGGUUUAUGUAUUUUUCUGAAGCUGAUCGCCUUGGAGUUAAUGUGUCCAGGCUUAAAAACAGAUUGUAUGAACUAAGUAAAAUGAGGAUGUGAAUAGUGGUUUUUCUCUUAGGUGAAGAGAAUGAUUUACAGAAACGUGCAUAGCCACAAUACUUGUACCUGAAACUGUUUUGUACUUUGCUGGAAAUUUUUUCCCUAAGCUUGAAAUCAUUAAUAUCUAACAGGUAUAAACAAUGCUGUGGAA